UCUUUCGUAGUAUAGUGGUCAGUAUGCGAGCUUGUCAUCAAAACACAACGCUCGAGACCCGGGUUCAAUUCCCGGCGAGAGAG
rnacentral:tRNA from 2 species